rnacentral:lncRNA from 1 species
CUGCAGUUUAGCCUAGGCUAGCCAAGGCUGGCAACAAGCUUCUCUUCUCCACAGGAGAAAGGCAGGUCUAAGAACAUGUUUGAUGUGUAUAUUUUAACCCUAUAUUUCCUUUUUUUUCCCCAGAAAUAUGAUUUCUCCUAGACUGGACAAUGUAGCUCUUUGUUCAAGAAUGUUACUGUCAUUGACUUUAAUAAUAAAAUCCAAUUUCUUAUAUUGCCAGUUUCAUUUUAGGGGAAACCAUAAAUAUCUGUAGCCUGGAAUACACAUUUAAGUUCUUUUAGAACCAGGGUUGAAUCUACCAGUGUCUUUUAU